UCGAGCGAACGUAUUUGCGGAAGUUUUCGGAUGGAAGCGGAUAUGACUUAGCGGCGGACGGGUGAGUAACGCGUGGAUAACCUGCCUCAUACAGGGGGAUAACAGUUAGAAAUGACUGCUAAUACCGCAUAAGCGCACAGGACCGCAUGGUCCGGUGUGAAUAACUCCGGUGGUAUGGGAUGGAUCCGCGUCUGAUUAGCUGGUUGGUGAGGUAACGGCCCACCAAGGCGACGAUCAGUAGCCGACCUGAGAGGGUGGCCGGCCACAUUGGGACUGAGACACGGCCCAAACUCCUACGGGAGGCAGCAGUGGGGAAUAUUGCACAAUGGGGGAAACCCUGAUGCAUCAACGCCGCGUGAGUGAAGAAGUAUUUCGGUAUGUAAAGCUCUAU
rnacentral:rRNA from 1 species